AUGUUACAGAAGGGGAGCCUUGGCGCAGUGGUAAAGCUGCUGCCUUGUGACCAUGAGGUCAUGGGUUCAAGUCCUGGAAACAGCCUCUUACAGAAAUGUAGGGAGAGGCUGCGUACUAUAGACCCAAAGUGGUCGGACCCUUCCCUGGACCCUGCGCAAGCGGGAGCUACAUGCACCAGGUUGCCCUUUUUUAUUCAGAGGCAUGUUAAUUUUGGAGUAGAGUAUAUCUUGGAAUUGAUUCAGAUGCAUGUUAAUUUUGGAGUAGCUUGCAUUUUAUUCCACAGGAAUAAAAUUGAUAUACUCAAUUAA
rnacentral:rRNA from 1 species